UGUGUGUAUGUGUGGGGGUGAGGUGUGUGUAUGUGUGGGGGUGAGGUGUGUGUAUGUGUGGGGUGAGAUGUGUGUAUGUGUGGGGGUGAGGUGUGUGUAUGUGUGGGGGUGAGGUGUGUGUAUGUGUGGGGGUGAGGUGUGUGUACGUGUGGGGGUGAGAUGUGUGUAUGUGUGGGGGUGAGGUGUGUGUAUGUGUAGGGUGAGGUGUGUGUGUGUGUGUGGGGGUGAGGUGUGUGUAUGUGUAGGGUGAGAUGUGGGUAUGUGUGGGGGUGAGGUGUGUGUAUGUGUAGGGUGAGGUGUGUGUAUGUGUGGGGGUGAGGUGUGUGUAUGUGUGGGGGUGAGGUGUGUGUAUGUGUAGGGUGAGGUGUGUGUAUGUGUGGGGGUGAGGUGUGUGUAUGUGUGGGGGUGAGGUGUGUGUAUGUGUGGGGUGAGGUGUGUGUAUGUGUGGGGGUGAGGUGUGUGUAUGUGUGGGGGAGUACGUGCACGGGGAGCCUCCCUAAAGCAACAGGAAGAGGGAAGGACAAGAAAACAUUUCCACGUCGCUACUCUGGAGCCCAGGUGUGACCUUCUCAGGGACACCAGGGUGUUACUGUGUGUAUGAGUGUGUGUGAGGGUGUAAGUGUGUAUGAGUCUGUGUGAGUGUGUAGUCUUGGCAGAGGCCUAACCAACUUUCUCCCUGCCAUUCAUAGAAAUACCAACACUAGACCCAGCCAGUAUGAAAAUAUGCUGUAGCUUGGAGACAGGCCCAACUUCCUCACUAGUGUUUUCCUAAUACACUCCUACAUCCCAUUCCCAACACAUCUAGUGUCAGACACAUC